CUCGCUAUCCGUGAAAUCGCCAGCCAAGUUCUGCAAGAAUGGAUUCCGCGGAAGCAUCUCGAACUCGUCGAUCCGUAAUUUUCUUCCCAAUCUCUCCGAAGCCAAAAGUCAAACCCUGAGUCACGGUGCUAAAACAUUCAACGAUAGAUUCAAAUAUGCAGUCUGAUCAUCACAAUGCUCUGCAGUUCGAGAAGCAAUCGCCACCGAAAUCCCCCUCCUACGUGAAUCUGAUCCUCAAAUUUCACGGUCAGUUUGAAAUUCUAGGUAAUCCGGGCGGCCAUAUCCAGGUAAACGUAGAAUUUUCUGGAAAUUUUUGUUUCAGUUCGAUAACUUCCGAUUUAAGAGUCCAUGGAAUAGUUUCUUGAACUUGAGAAGUUGCUUGUUCAAGACUCGAAUAGGAAGAAACAGUGAUGCAAUUGACUUAAAUUCCGACAACUUUCACCGGUGCAGAAAAUGGGAUUUGAUACUGUCGUUUUUCCUCUCUCGUCUCGUGUAGGAAUUGUCAUUAGGGAUUUUGGUUCAGGUUCGAUUUGGUAAUUUUUUUGUUCUGUUUUUUCAAUUUUAGAAAGAUUGUUUAAUUUUUUGUCUGAUUAUGUUGGCCGGUGUUGAAGUACCUUCUGCCACUAAGAGUCUAAAUUCUGUUGGUUGAGAUUGCCAAACGGUAAGAACCGUCACGUUUAUUCUCAUGCUUCUUCUGGGGAACUGUUGAAACCAAGUAACCUGUUUUCUAUCCUGAUUGAUGUAAUAACCAGUUUUUUUAGUAUCAGUUGUUUUGUUCCCUUUGUGAUUGUUUUUGUCCAAUGUUGAAACCCAGUGAUAAGGGUUUUGCCUCUUUUGCUGGUUGAGAUAACCAAACUGCUAAACUACAUAUCCUUGUUUUGGGUUCAGGUUCAGAUUAUACAAGAAGAAAGGCUUCAAAGGGUUAUUUGUAGUUGCAGGGUAGUAUGCAAAGAUGUUUGCUGUUCUAUCCAGACGCAGUUUAGUUGUUUGCCUUUUGACGCAACUGCCGGGAAAAGAUGAUGCUAUUAAUGUUGGUGUUGCAGGAUGCUGCACCGGUCUUGCUCUUAGUUUCCCGGUUACGAAUCAUAUCUUUCUUGUGCUUCUGAAUUCGGAUCAUGUUGACGUGAAUAUCGAACCUGAUACGAGCCCUAAUCCUAACAUUAAUGAUUCUUCCAAGGCAUUGGCUAUCCGUUGUCCCUUCGUCUGCCUCGUCCGCUUCACCGGAAUGGUGCCGACAGAACCGUAAUGGCUCCAUCUUUGGCUACGGUGCUGUUAUUUCCUUUUCUACAUUUUUAUGUGCGUGUGAGUCAGAUUUUAUCUGUAGUUAUAUUAACCUCGUGGAAUGAUCGUGUUAAAAGUAAGAAAUGGGGCCAAUCCAUUUCUGGCAUUGAACUUUUCUUGUGUAUUUAUUUGAUUGUUCUUGUGAUUUUUGAGUUGGCGUCGUUUCUGGCACUGUGAGUGAUUAUGUUGGUCGGUGUUGAAGUAGCAAUGAUGGGUUCUACCUCUAAAUUCUAUUUGUUGAGACUGCCAAACUGGUAAGAGCCGUUUGUUCUUAUGCUCCUUCAGUGGAACUUCUGAAACCAAGUGAUUGUUUUUGAACAACAAACCAAACUGCUUACAUUUCCUUGUUUUGGUUUCACGUUCUGGAUUGUUCAAGAAGAAAGGGUGCAAAGGGUCAUUUAUAGAUGCAGGGCAGACUGCAAAGGUAUAUCCUAUUUUGGCUGAUUAAAUAUGCUCAUUCUGAAACUGCCCUGUUGGUUCAUAUUAUUCUAUUUGUUGAUGGCAACUGAGUCAUUAUGAUUCCUUUUGUUCGGUGUUUGUGGCUCUAUCCAGAGUACACAGUUUAGUUGUUAACCUUUUGAAUGGACUGCGGGGAAAAGAUGUUGGUGAGGCUUUGAAACUUUGCGAGCUGACCUCUCCCUUUUUGUGUUAUGCACAAUGAGUCUGCAUAAAAAAUUUCUGUUUCUAACUUCGAGUCAAGUGUUCUUUAUUUGCAGCCAGUAAUAUUGGUGUUGCGGGGUACUGCACAGCCACAGGCCUUGCUCUUAUUUUCCCUUGUAAGAGAUCAUAUCACUCUCAUGUUUCAGAAUUCGGAACAUGUUGACGUUUCCUUGCACUGGUUUUUCGCUUUUUCCUUGCACUAAUUUGACCACAAUUGCCCACAAAACUAGUAGCAAAAAGUGGUUAGGCAGUAUUACACAACUCAGUGGCUAUUCAUAGGGACGAAAUGCAUGGCCGAGCUAACAUAUGCAUGGAUGUUAUCUGUAGGACAUUUGUUCACUUAGGUCAGUUCAUAUCAAUCAUUAUGGAAAGAUUAAUUCAGAGUUUUUUGUUUUUACUUUCCGGGGGUGACCUGUCCCUUUUUGUGUUGUGCAUAAUUUGUAUGCAUAAAAGUUUUCUGUUUCUAACUUCGAGUCAAGUGUCGUUUGUUUGCAUUGCAGCCAUUAAUGUUGGAGUUGCUGGGAGCUGCAACGACCUUGUUCUGAGUGUCCAUGUCACAAAGAACUAUUUGUGUUCUAAAACUUUGCGAGAUGACCUCUCUCUUUUUGUGUUAUGCAUAAAAUUUUUCUGUUUCUAACUUCGAGUCUAGUGUUCUUUGUUUGCAGCCAUUAAUGUUGCAGUUGCAAGGUGCAGCUCUGGUGUUGCUCUUAGUUUCCCUGGUAAGAUGUCGUAUCUUUCUCAUGCUUUCAGAAUUCGGAAUGCCACACAAGUAUGAAUAGACGUGCACAUUCACUCGAAUUCAGAAACAUACAUAGAUUGUAUCUGUGAUGCAUUGCGCUCACUUAUAUCAUUUCAUAUCAAUCUGUAUAGAAACAUUACGCCAGGCAUUUUUUCUGCUUCUUCCUAUGUUUCCUGACACUGGUUGUCCACAAAACUAGUAGAAAAAAAACUUAAGGCUGCAUUUUGCAACUCAGUGGAUAGUAAUAGGGUUGAACGUAUACGUAGAUGUUAUCUCUAAUGCAUUGCACUCACUUAGGUCAUUUCAUAUCAAUUUUUAUGGAAAGGUUACUGUAGGGUUUUUGUUUUAUUUUAUUUUAUUUUAUUGCAGUUUCCUUCAUUUGUUUCCUGGCACGCGCUGGUUUGACUCUUAUUCCCCAUUAAGUAGUAGCAAAAACUACUUAGGCUGCAUUGUACAACUCUGUGGCUAAUCAUAGGGAAGAAAUACUUCGCUGAGCAUAAAAAUUUUCCGUUUCUAACUUCGAGUCAAGUGUUCUGUGUUUGCAGCCAUUAAUAUUGGUGUUGCAGGGUGCUGCGCUGGUCUUGCUCUUAGUUUCCCCGGUAAGAAGUCGUAUCUUUCUCAUGUUUCUGAGUUCGGAUCAAGUUGACGUUUCCUUGCAUUGGUUUUUUCCUGUUUCCUUGCACUAGUUUCACUAGGAUUGCCCCUAAAACUAGUAGCAAAAAGUGCUUAGGCAAGAUUACACAACUCAGUGGCCAAUCAUAGGGGCAAAAUGCCUGGCCGAGCUAAAUAUACAUAGAUGUUAUCUGUAAUGCAUUUAUUCACUUAGGUCAGUUCAUAUCAAUCGUUAUGGAAAGGUUACUUCAGAGUUUUUGGUUGUUUACUUUGCAGGGUAAACUCUCCCUUUUAGUGUUGUGCAUAAUUAGUAUGCGUAAAAGUUUUCUGUUUCUAACUUCGAGUCGAGUGUUCUUUGUUUGCAUUGCAGCCAUUAAUGUUGGAGUUGUAGGGAGCUGCAACGACCUUGCUCUUAGUGUCCAUGUCACAAAGAACUAUUUGUGUUCUAAAACUUUGCGAGAUCACCUGACCUGUCUCUUUUAGUGUUAUGCAUAAAAUGUUUCUGUUUCUAACUUCGAGCCUAGUGUUUUUUGUUUGCAGCCAUGAAUGUUGGAGUUGCAAGGUGCAGCUGUGGUCUUGCUCUUAGUUUCCCUGGUAAGAUGUCGUAUCUUUAUCAUGCUUUCAGAAUUCAGAAUGCCACACAAGUAUGAAUAGAGGCAUUCACAUUCACUCGAAUUCAGAAUAUACAUAGAUUGUAUCUGUGAUGCAUUGCAUUUACUUAUAUCAUUUCAUAUCAAUCUGUACAGAAAGGUUACACCAAGGAUUUUUUCUGCUUCUUCCUCUGUUUCCUGACACUGGUUUGACUCUGGUUGUCGACAAAACUUGUGGAAAAAAAACUGCUUAGGCUGCAUUUUGCAACUCAAUGGAUAAUAAUAGGGUUGGGAAUACAUUGCUAACCUAACGUAUAUGAAGAUGUUAUCUCUAAUGCAUUGCAUUCACUUAGGUCAUUUCAUAUCAAUUUUAUGGAAAGGUUACUGCAGAGUUUUUUUUAUUUAUUGCAGUUUCCUUUAUUUGUUUUCUUAUUCCCCAUUCUGUAGCAGCGAAAACUACUUAGGCUGCAUUGUACAACUCUGUGGCUAAUCAUAGGGAAGAAAUACAUUGCUGAGCUAAUAGAUACAUAGAUGUUAUCUAUAAUGCAUUUCAUUCACUUGGAUAAUGUCAUAUCAAUCUUUAUGGAAAUGUUAUCCAUCGUUUUUUGUUGCUUCCUGGCAUUUGUUGGACUCUUAUUGCCCAGAAAACUAGCAGCAAAAACUGCUUCCAGGUAUGCUGUCUGUAAUGCAUUUCAUUUACUAAGAUCAUUUAAUAUCAUUCUCAUUCUGUAUGGUUAUGUUAUCCAGUGCUUUUUGUUGUUUCCUGACACUGUCUGAUUGCCCUUUAAACUUGUAGCAAAAAGUGCGUAGGGUGCAUUGCACAACUCAGAGGCUAAUCAUGUGGUGGGGAAUGCAUAACUGAAACUAACUUAUACUUAGAUGUUAUCUGUAAUACAUUGCUUUCACUUAGAUCGUUUCAUAUCAAUCUUUAUGGAAAGAUUACAAAAACUAAACUGCUUACAACAUCUCCUUUUUUUGGUUUCACAAUCUGGAUUGUUCAAGAAGAAAGGGUGCGAAGGGUCAUUUAUAGAUGCAGGGCAGACUGCAAAGGUAUAUCCUAUUUUGGCUGAUUAAAUAUGCUCAUUCUGAAACUGCCAUGUCGGUUCAUAUUAUUCCAUUUGUUAAUGGCAAAUGAAUCACUAUGAUUCCUUUUGUUAAGUGCUUGUUGUUCUAUCCAGAGUGCACAAUUUAGUUAUUUACCUUUUGAAUGAACUGCGGGGAAAGGAUGUGGGUGAUCUUUGUUUGCAACCAUUAGUACUGGUGCUGCAGGGUGCUGCACAGGCCUUGCUCUUAGUUUCCCCGGUAAGAAGCCGUAUCUUUCUCAUGUUUCUGAGUUCGGAUCACGUUGACGUUUCCUUGCAUUGGUUUUUUCCUGUUUCCUUGCACUAGUUUCACUAUGAUUUCCUCUAAAACUAGUAGCAAAAAGUGCUUAGGCAAGAUGACACAACUCAGUGGCCAAUCAUAGGGGCAAAAUGCCUGGCCGAGCUAAAUAUACAUAGAUGUUAUCUGUAAUGCAUUUAUUCACUUAGGUCAGUUCAUAUCAAUCGUUAUGGAAAGGUACUUCAGAGUUUUUGGUUGUUUACUUUGCAGGGUAACCUCUCCCUUUUAGUGUUGUGCAUAAUUAGUAUGCGUAAAAGUUUUCUGUUUCUAACAUCGAGUCGAGUGUUCUUUGUUUGCAUUGCAGCCAUUAAUGUUGGAGUUGUAGGGAGCUGCAACGACCUUGCUCUUAGUGUCCAUGUCACAAAGAACUAUUUGUGUUCUAAAACUUUGCGAGAUCACCUGACCUGUCUCUUUUAGUGUUAUGCAUAAAAUGUUUCUGUUUCUAACUUCGAGCCUAGUGUUUUUUGUUUGCAGCCAUGAAUGUUGGAGUUGCAAGGUGCAGCUGUGGUCUUGCUCUUAGUUUCCCUGGUAAGAUGUCGUAUCUUUAUCAUGCUUUCAGAAUUCAGAAUGCCACACAAGUAUGAAUAGAGGCAUUCACAUUCACUCGAAUUCAGAAUAUACAUAGAUUGUAUCUGUGAUGCAUUGCAUUUACUUAUAUCAUUUCAUAUCAAUCUGUACAGAAAGGUUACACCAAGGAUUUUUUCUGCUUCUUCCUCUGUUUCCUGACACUGGUUUGACUCUGGUUGUCGACAAAACUUGUGGAAAAAAAACUGCUUAGGCUGCAUUUUGCAACUCAAUGGAUAAUAAUAGGGUUGGGAAUACAUUGCUAACCUAACGUAUAUGAAGAUGAUAUCUCUAAUGCAUUGCAUUCACUUAGGUCAUUUCAUAUCAAUUUUAUGGAAAGGUUACUGCAGAGUUUUUUUUUUUAUUGCAGUUUCCUUUAUUUGUUUUCUUAUUCCCCAUUCUGUAGCAGCGAAAACUACUUAGGCUGCAUUGUACAACUCUGUGGCUAAUCAUAGGGAAGAAAUACAUUGCUGAGCUAAUAGAUACAUAGAUGUUAUCUAUAAUGCAUUUCAUUCACUUAGAUAAUUUCAUAUCAAUCUUUAUGGAACUGUUAUCCAGUGUUUUUUGUUGCUUCCUGGCACUUGUUGGACUCUUAUUGCCCAGAAAACUAGCAGCAAAAACUGCUUUCAGGUAUGCUGUCUGUAAUGCAUUUCAUUUACUAAGAUCAUUUAAUAUCAUUCUCAUUCUGUAUGGUUAUGUUAUCCAUUGCUUUUUGUUGUUUCCUGACACUGUCUGAUUGCCCUUUAAACUUGUAGCAAAAAGUGCGUAGGGUGCAUUGCACAACUCAGAGGCUAAUCAUGUGGUGGGGAAUGCAUAACUGAAACUAACUUAUACUUAGAUGUUAUCUGUAAUACAUUGCUUUCACUUAGAUCGUUUCAUAUCAAUCUUUACGGAAAGAUUACAAAAACUAAACUGCUUACAACAUCUCCUUGUUUUGAUUUCACAAUCUGGAUUGUUCAAGAAGAAAAGGUGCGAAGGGUCAUUAAUAGAUGCAGGGCAGACUGAAAAGGUAUAUCCUAUUUUGGCUGAUUAAAUAUGCUCAUUCUGAAACUGCCAUGUCGGUUCAUAUUAUUCCACUUGUUAAUGGUAAAUGAAUCACUAUGAUUCCUUUUGUUAAGUGCUUGUUGUUCUAUCCAGAGUACACAAUUUAGUUGUUUACCUUUUGAAUGAACUGCGGGGAAAGGAUGUGGGUGAUCUUUAUUUGCAACCAUUAGUACUGGUGCUGCAGGGUGCUGCACAGGCCUUGCUCUUAGUUUCCCCGGUAAGAAGUCGUAUCUUUCUCAUGUUUCUGAGUUCGGAUCACGUUGACGUUUCCUUGCAUUGGUUUUUUCCUGUUUCCUUGCACUAGUUUCACUAGGAUUGCCCCUAAAACUAGUAGCAAAAAGUGCUUAGGCAAGAUUACACAACUCAGUGGCCAAUCAUAGGGGCAAAAUGCAUGGCCGAGCUAAAUAUACAUAGAUGUUAUCUGUAAUGCAUUUAUUCAAUUAGGUCAGUUCAUAUCAAUCGUUAUGGAAAGGUUACUUCAGAGUUUUUGGUUUACUUUGCAGGGUAACCUCUCCCUUUUAGUGUUGUGCAUAAUUAGUAUGCGUAAAAUUUUUCUGCUUCUAACUUCGAGUCGAGUGUUCUUUGUUUGCAUUGCAGCCAUUAAUGUUGGAGUUGUAGGGAGCUGCAACGACCUUGCUCUUAGUGUCCAUGUCACAAAGAACUAUUUGUGUUCUAAAACUUUGCGAGAUCACCUGACCUGUCUCUUUUAGUGUUAUGCAUAAAAUGUUUCUGUUUCUAACUUCGAGCCUAGUGUUUUUUGUUUGCAGCCAUUAAUGUUGGAGUUGCAAGGUGCAGCUGUGGUCUUGCUCUUAGUUUCCUGGUAAGAUGUCGUAUCUUUAUCAUGCUUUCAGAAUUCAGAAUGCCACACAAGUAUGAAUAGAGACAUUCACAUUCACUCGAAUUCAGAAUAUACAUAGAUUGUAUCUGUGAUGCAUUGCAUUUACUUAUAUCAUUUCAUAUCAAUCUGUACAGAAAGGUUACACCAAGGAUUUUUUCUGCUUCUUCCUCUGUUUCCUGACACUGGUUUGACUCUGGUUGUCGACAAAACUUGUGGAAAAAAAACUGCUUAGGCUGCAUUUUGCAACUGAAUGGAUAAUAAUAGGGUUGGGAAUACAUUGCUAACCUAACGUAUAUGAAGUUGUUAUCUCUAAUGCAUUGCAUUGACUUAGUUCAUUUCAUAUCAAUUUUUAUGGAAAGGUUACUGCAGAGUUUUUUUUUUUGUUUUUUUUAUUGCAGUUUCCUUUAUUUGUUUUCUUAUUCCCCAUUAAGUAGCAGCAAAAACUACUUAGGCUGCAUUGUACAACUCUGUGGCUAAUCAUAGGAAAGAAAUACAUUGCUGAGCUAAUAGAUACAUAGAUGUUAUCUAUAAUGCAUUUCAUUCACUUAGAUAAUUUCAUAUCAAUCUUUAUGGAAAUGUUAUCCAGUGUUUUUUGUUGUUUCCUGGCACUUGUUGGACUCUUAUUGCCCAGAAAACUAGUAGCAAAAACUGCUUUCAGGUAUGCUGUCUGUAAUGCAUUUCAUUUACUUAGAUCAUUUAAUAUCAUUCUCAUUCUGUAUGGUUAUGUUAUCCAGUGCUUUUUGUUGUUUUCUGACACUGGUUUGACUCUGAUUACCCUUUAAACUUGUAGCAAAAAGUGCGUAGGGUGUAUUGCACAACUCAGAGGCUAAUCAUGUGGUGGGGAAUGCAUAACUGAAACUAACUUAUACUUAGAUAUUAUCUGUAAUGCAUUGCUUUCACUUAGAUCAUUUCAUAUCAAUCUUUAUGGAAAGAUUACAAAAACUAAUCUGCUUACAACAUCUCCUUGUUUUGGUUUCACAAUCUGGAUUGUUCAAGAAGAAAGGGUGUGAAGGGUCAUUUAUAGAUGCAGGGCAGACUGCAAAGAGUACACAGUUUAGUUGUUAACCUUUUGAAUGGACUGCGGGGAAAAGAUGUUGGUAAGGCUUUGAAACUUUGCGAGCUGACCUCUCCCUUUUUGUGUUAUUCAUAAUGAGUCUGCAUAAAAAAUUUUCUGUUUCUAACUUCGAGUCAAGUGUUCUUUAUUUGCAGCCAGUAAUAUUGGUGUUGCAGGUCACUCUCAUGUUUCAGAAUUCGGAACAUGUUGACGUUUCCUUGCACUGGUUUUUUGCUUUUUCCUUGCGCUAGUUUGACUACGAUUGCCCAUAAAACUAGUAGCAAAAUGUCUUAGGCAGGAUUACGAACCUCAGUGGCUAAUCAUAGGGACGAAACGCAUGGCCGAGCUAUCAUAUACAUAGAUGUUAUCUGUAGUGCAUUUUUCACUUAGGUCAGUUCAUAUCAAUCGUUAUGGAAAGUUUACUUCAGAGUUUUUUGUUAUUUACUUUGCGGGGUGACCUGUCCCUUUUUGUGUUGUGCAUAAUUUGUAUGCAUAAAAGUUUUCUGUUUCUAACUUCGAGUCAAGUGUUCUUUGUUUGCAGUCGUUAAUGUUGGAGUUGCAGGGAGCUGCAACGACCUUGCUCUUAGUGUCCAUGUCACAAAGAACUAUUUGUGUUCUUAAACUUUGCGAGAUGAUCUCUCUCUGUUUGUGUUUUGCAUAAAUUUUUUCUGUUUCUAACUAACUUUCAGUUGUUUGCCGCCAUUACUGUUGGAGUCGUAACGUGCUGCACUGGUAUUUCAUAUCAAUCUGCAUCGAAAGGUUACUCCAUAGAUUUUUGUUGCUUCCUUCCUCUCUUUCCUGACACUUGUUUGACUCUGGUUGUCCACAAAACUAGUAGGAAAAAAAACUGCUUAGGCUGCAUUUAUCAACUCAGUGGAUAAUAAUGGGGUCGGGAAUAUAUAGCUAAGCCAAUGUAUGCAUAGAUGUUAUCUCUAAUGCAUUGCAUUCACUUAGGUCAUUUCAUAUCAAUUUUUAUGGAAAGGUUACUGUAGAGUUUUUUUGUGCAGUUUCCUUCAUUUGUGGAUGCAGGGCAGUCUGCGAAGGUAUAUCCAUUAGUAUAUAUAUUGGCUGAUUUAGAACGAUCAUUCUGAAACUGCCUAGUUGUUGUAUUUUAACCUUUUGUGAACUGCAACUGAAUGAUUACGAUUCCUUUUGUUAUACAUGUGCUGUUCUAUCCGUCGAACACGGUUUAGCUGUUUGCCUACUGCAGGAAAAAGAUGAUUGUGCGGUUCUAAAACUUUGCUAGUUGAUCUCUCUUUUUGUGUUAUGCAUAAAAUAUUUCUGUUUCUAUCUUCGAGUCUGGUGUUUUUUUUUGCAGCCAUUAAUGUUGGAGUUGCAAGGUGCUUCCCUGGCCUUGCUCUUAGUUUCCCUGGUAAGAUGUCGUAUCUUUCUCAUGUUUUCAGAAUUCGGAAUGCCAUACAAGUAUAUGAAUAGACAUUCACAUUCACUCGAAUUCAGAAAUAUACAAAGAUGGUGUCUGUGAUGCAUUGCGUUCAGAUAUGUCAUUUCAUAUCAAUCUGUAUCGAAAGGUUUCUCCAGAGAUCUUUGCUGCUUCCUUCCUCUGUUUCCUGACACUGGUUUGACUCUGGUUGUCCAUAAAACUAGUAGAAAAAAAAAAACUGCUUAGACUGCAUUUAGCAACUCAGUGGAUAACAAUGGGGUCGGUAAUAUAUAGCUAAGCCAACGUAUACAUAGAUGUUAUCUCUAGUGCAUUGCAUUCAUUUAGGUCAUUUCAUAUCAAUUUUUAUGGAAAGGUUACUGUAGAGUUUUCUUUUUUGUGCAGUUUCCUUCAUUUGUUUCCAAGCACUGGUUUGACUCUUAUUCCCCAUUAAAGUAGUAGCAAAAACUACUUAGCCUGCAUUGUACAACUCUGUGAUAGGGAAGAAAUACAUGGCUGAGCUAAAUUAAUCCAUACGUAGAUGUUAUCUGUAAUGCAUUUCAUUCACUUAGAUCAUUCAUAUCAAUCUUUAUGGAAAUGUUAUCCAGUGUUUUUUGUUGUUUCCUGACACUUGUUUGACUCUAAUUGCCCAGAAAACUAGUAGUUAAAACUGCUUUCAGGUAUGUUAUCUGUAAUGCAUUUCAUUCACCUAGAUCAUUUAAUCUCAAUCUUUAUGGAAAUGUUAUGCAGUGUUUUUUGUUGUUUCCUGCCUCGGUUUCCUGACACUGGUUUGACUCCGAUUGCCCUUAAAACUUGUUGCAGAAAGUGCUUAGGGUGCAUUGCACAACUCAGAGGCUAUUCAUGCGGUGGGGAAUACAUUGCUGAAACUAACUUAUGCAUAGACGUUAUCUGUAAUGCAUUGUGUUCACUUAGAUCAUUUCACAUGAAUCUUUAGUAUCCGUUGGUAAGAACCGUCACGUUUUUCUUAUGCUCCUUCAGGAAAACUUCUGAAACCAAGAUGCCAGUAAUCUUGAUGGAGUUCUUAAGCUGUAUUUCUCUAGUACCUGUUGUUUUGUUCUGUACGUGAUUGUUUUGGGUUUAGCCAGGUUCUGGAUUGUUCAAGAAGAAAGGCUUCAUAGGGUCAUUUGUAGUUGCCCAGUUGUUGCAUAUUAUUCCUUUUGCAACUGAAACUGAAUGAUUACGAUUCCUUUUGUUAGAUAUGUGCUGUUCUAUCCAUAGAACACGGUUUAGUUGUUUGCCUUCUGAAGAAACUGUGGGAAAAAGAUGUCUGUGAGGUUCUAAAACUUUGCAAGCUGACCUCUCUCUUUUUGUGUUAUGCAUAAAAUAUUUCCGUUUCUAACUUUGAGUCAAGUUUUCUUUGUUUGCAGCCAUUAAUGUUGGAGGUGCAAGGUGCUGCACUGGUCUUGCUCUUAGUUUCCCUGGUAAGAAGUCUUAUCUUUCUCUUGCUUUGAGAAUUCAAAAUGCCACACAAGUAUGAAUAGACAUUCACAUUCACUCGAAUUCAGAAAUAUACAUAGAUGGUAUCUGUGAUGCAUUGCGUUCACUUAUAUCAUUUCAUUUCAAUCUAUAUAGAAAGGUCACACCAGAGAUUUUUUUUUUGCUUCCUUACUCUGUUUCCUGACACUGGUUUGACUCUGGUCGCCCACAAAACUAGUAGGAAAAAAAACUGCUUAAUCUGCAUUGUGCAACUCGGUAGCUAAAACUAAUUGUACAUUGUUUUUUGUUGUUUCCUUUGUCUGCUUCCUGACGCUUGUUUGACUCUGAUUGCCCUUAAAACUACUUAGUCUGCGUUGUACAACUCAGUGGCUAAUCAUAUGGUGGGGAAUAUAUGGCUGAACUAAGUUAUAUAUAGAUGUUUUCUGUAAUGCAUUGCAUUUACUUAGAUCAUUUCAUAUCAAUCUUUAUGGAAAGAUUAUCCAGAUUUUUUUGCUGUUUCCUGGCACUGGUUGACUAUGAUUGCCCAUAAAACUAGUAGGAAAAAGUGCACACAACUCAGUGGCUAAUCAUAGGGCAGGGAAUACAUGGCUGAGCUAACAUAUACAUCGAUGUUAUCUGUAGUGCAUUCACUUAGAUAAGAUCAUGUCAAUUGUUAUGGAAAGGUUACUCCAGAUUUUUUUUUGGUUUACUUCCUCUGUUUCCUGGCACUUGUUUCACUCUGGUUACCCAUAAAACUAGUAGCAAAAACUAAUUAGGAUGCAUUAUAUAACUCAGUAGCUAAUCAUAGGAGAGGGAAGACAAAGCUAGGUUAAUGUAUUCUAGACGAUAUCUGGAAUGAUUUGCAUUCAUAGGCUGGAUCACACAACUCAGUGGCUAAUCAUAGGGCGCGGAAUACUUGGCUGAGCUAACGUAUACAUAUGUGUAAUCUGUAAUGCAUUGUAUUCACUUAGAUCAUUUCAUAUCAAUAUUUAUGUAAAGGUUAGUCCAGGGUUUUUUGUUGUUUUCUUGCACUGGUUUGACUCUGGUUGCCCAUAAAACUCUCUGGCUAAUCAUAGGGCAUGAAAUACUCGGCAGACCUAACGAAUGUUAUAAUAACCCGUUCCCGAAAAUACGGGAAUUGAUCGAAAAUCCCGCUUUUACGCUGAUUAUUUCGUGUUUUUAGAUGAAACUCUAAUGUGAGUGAUCCGGUUUGUUGCUAAGCUUUAAAUGGUAUUUUAAGUCUGUUUGUGGGUUUUAAUAGAUUUAUGGCUGUUUGCGACGUUGAUACUUCUAGGAUGAUUUCGGUGCUGGCCAAGAGAAAUGUAUGCCUAAAUGUGAUAUUUUGUGUGUUAAUUUUGAUUGAGAAUGUUUUGUGAUAGUGUGUGGGGUUUUGUAUGUUUAAGUGAUGAUUGAAUGAUGAUAAUCCUUGACCGAGACCUAUUUAGGAUGGGGGUGUGAUGUUUUAUAUAUUUUGGUAUUAAAAUGUGUUUUAUUAAUGUGAAGCAAUUGAGAAAAUUGUAGAAGGAUUGCGUAGUGAUGAUGUCUUGGCCGGGAUGCUUGGGUUGUAAGGUUUUUGGUAAAAUGUUUCUUACUUGUAGUUUAAGCAAAGUAUUGUAGGUAUAUUAGGGAUUUUGAAUGAGUUGGUGGAAGCCUGGAAUAUUUUUAGUUGGGGUUAAAUCCUAAAUUAUAUGUAGAAUGUUGAAGUAGAUGAAUUGUUAUUAUGAUAACAGUGGAGUAAAUUGAGAAUUACGGAUUAUAUAUAAAAAAAAAAGAGUUAUAAUUUGGUACAUGGUAAGAUGAAUAUGCAUAGUUUAGGGAUUAUCCAAAAUGGUAUGUGAAUGUGUGGCAAUUGUAUAUUGGUAUGCUAACUUGGGUUGUAAGUAAAGCGAGAAAUAAGGUCCAUUAAUAAAUAUAACCAGAAGAAAUAAAUUUAGUAAAAUAAAUAUGUCCGAGUAGAAAAGAAAAGAUUGUGUAGCUUUCACUUCUAGAUACAAGAAUGGGUAUUGAGGUCUUUCAAUUGGGUGUGGAUGGUAUGAUAUGAAUAAGGAUUAUCUUGUUUGAUCGAUGUGUUCGUACAAAUAAUGAAAGAAUAUUAAUUACGAGGGUAGUAUUACGCAUGGAGUUUCGGGUUGAUUCGGAAGAGUCCGAGUUUUCAUGUACGUGUGUUUGUGGUGACGGAAAGUUAGAAAAAUAUUUCACGAUCGUUUUUUAUUUGUAUGAAUAUAGUACCGCGUGUAUUUUAUGUGGUAUGGACACGGCGUACGGUUAGGAGUUCUCUAUGAUUGUGGCGUAGUGCAUGAUUACAUUCGAGAUAUCCGGACAGUAUUUUAGCACUCUAGUGAUUUAGUAUGUAUGGUAUGGAUCGGGACUUUGAGUCGCUACUGAUACAUGAAUACGGUUCGUGCACCAACGUGUAUGGAUGGAGUGUUAAAGCUGAUUGUUUUGUGCUGGGCUAUGUGCAUGAUUUUCGCUUUUUCAGCCCCGGAAUUCAUGAAAGCUAUCAGUUUUUUUCCCUUGUUCUAAACAAAGAGGAAUUCUGUUUUGUUGCAUGUCCCUCUCAUUACAAGAUGUUUAAUUUGGUAAUUUUUCUUUAA